CUCGGUUCAAAACUGAACCGAAAAUGCAAGACUUGCUUUAAUUCUUUUCCUUCAUUUCUCUCUUUAUCAUUUACUAUAAUGGAACUCAUGUUAUUUACAUGUGCUAGAUCAAUACAUAUAAACACUGAUAGAAAACAAUUAAAGCAAGUCUUGCAUUUUCGGUUCAGUUUUGAACCGAG
rnacentral:miRNA from 1 species